GCCGAAAUAGCUCAGCGGUAGAGCAACUGAUUCGUAAUCAGUAGGUCCCCAGUUCGAUCCUGGGUUUCGGCACCA
rnacentral:tRNA from 1 species